AUACGGAGGGUGCGAGCGUUAAUCGGAAUUACUGGGCGUAAAGCGCGCGUAGGCGGUUUAGUAAGUCGGAUGUGAAAGCCCUGGGCUCAACCUGGGAAUUGCAUUCGAAACUGCUUAACUAGAGGAUGGUAGAGGGAAGUGGAAUUUUCGGUGUAGCGGUGAAAUGCGUAGAUAUCGGAAGGAACACCAGUGGCGAAGGCGACUUCCUGGGCCAAUACUGACGCUGAGGUGCGAAAGCGUAGGGAGCAAACAGGAUUAGAAACCCCGGUAGUCC
rnacentral:rRNA from 1 species